AUCUCUUUCUGGACAUUUCUCAUUUGUGAAGCUUUUCAUCAUGAGCCUAAAUCUUAAGAUACAGAUUGUUUCCAUGCAACUUUGGAGAGAUUCAUUUUCCUUCCAGCAAAGGCACGUAACAGAGAACAGUCAGGACACUACUGCAAUGGAUUCACAUUAUUGAAGUGAUGGUAACGCUAGGGUCAUUUAAUGUUUGAAAAGCACACAACACAUUGCAAAAUGUGCCAAUUGGAUAGUAAUAGAUCUUCAAUGUGUAUUAAAAAUGAAGUGCUUCUACGGGUCACAGUACAUGUUAAAAGGUUUUAAAAGCAUUGCUUAAAGGGCUUCUAUAUUGGUGUUUUAAUGAUAAGCAUUUUCACUUAAUUUAGACUUGGGCUUGGACCAAAAACCCAGCAUCUUAUAUUGUAUGCUGUAAAUUUGAAUCUGUUUGAUUCUGGAGUUCAGUGGCCCUCUGGACAUCUAUAUCCAGGAGUCCAACCUAAUGAAAGAUAGCUUUGGCUGCAUUGUAGUGGGCCAUUUGCAUUAAAUAACUCCUAAGAUGAUUUUAAUAGUGUUCUUUUACUGUGUAACCAAGUACUUCUAAGAAGAGACCAAUUGUCUGUCUGCAUUGAGCUAUCCUACCUGGAAUGCAUAUUCACCACAGAACCAUCUCAGUGCAGAAGCUUUUUUAAGUUCGUCAAAAGUUGUAAGUCUGGAGCAAUCCAGACUAUACCAAAGAUGACAUUCUUGUGCUUCAUAUUCAUUCAACCUUCAAUAUCAGGCAACUAAGAAAACUGUUGAUGUUAAUGGGAGUCUGCAUUGUAUUAUAGCUGGCUUUGAAAUCCUGGCUCUUAAGAUGUCAUAAAGCAAAUAGGGAUGGAGGAAACUAGAGCUUGCUAACCACAAAAACUGAGGAAAUAGCCCUUAUGAUGUUUGCUUGGGGACUGAUUGUUAUUUUUGCUCACAUUUUUAAAAUAAUAGGUGUUGAGAAAAUAGCCCUUGUAUUGUUCACUUGGGAGCAGAUAAUCAUUUUUGUUAACUUACUUUGAAUUCUGUAUUAUUAGUAAGAUAACAGAUCUGACAGUGGCAUCUGCCAGUGAAAUGUCUAUCCUACAUACUCUGUUCAGUAUUUAGAGAUUUACUGGUUAGUUAAAUGUAAAGGUGUUGCCUCAGCUCUGUCUGGAUCAUGAAAAUACUCUAAUGAAUAUAAAUAACAAAGAUUUUUGUAUGAACUAUUUCCACUAAUUAUAACUAUUAAGUAGUUUCUUCUGCCCAGCUCCCAUCAUUCCUGAAACGUUCAGAUAAACAUAAAACAUCUCACAAAAUCUACAAAUAAAAAGCAGAAAGAAACUACUAGUAAGAUUCAAACAUGCUUUGACAUUCGAGCCCUAUAUUUUCAUUCCUUUCUGUAUAAUUGGCAUCUGUAAUGCCAAAUAAUAUUAAAAAGCUAAUAAAAAAAUUGUACAUUAAAGGCUUUACUGU
ensembl:lncRNA